UAGGCAGGCAUGGUGAUACACACCUAUAGUCCCAGCAACUCAGGAGGCUGAGGUGGGAGGAUUGCUUGACCCUGGGAGGUGGAAGUUGCAGUGAGCCAAGAUUGCACCACUGUACUCCAGCAUGGGCAACAGAGCAAGACCCUGUCUCAAAAAAAAAGGAAAAAGUAAAUUAAUACCUUCCUAAUUUUCAAUCCUUAAAGAGAGUAAAAAAACAAGCCACAAACUAGAUGACAAUUGCAACAUAUAUAAGGACAAGAGAAAAAAUCUUGACCAGAAACUUACGGCCAAUAAAUAUAUGGCUCAUGCCUAUAAUCCCAGCACUUUGGGAGGCCAAGGCAGGUGAAUCAUGAGGUCAGGAGAUUGAGACUAUCCUGGCUAACGUGGUGAAACCCUAUCUCUACUUUAAAAAAAAAAAAGUGCUCAGAAUCAUCAGUAAUCCGGGAAAUACAAAUUUUAAAAAUCGGUUAACAUUUCAUACUAGGCACCAAAAAAAAUUAGCCCAACAAAAAAUAAGGAUGUAGAGUAAAUGGAACAUGCAAAGCUGGUAUGAGUGCAAAUUAAUACAAUAACUUUGAAAAACAAGGUGGCAUUUUCUAGUAGAACUGAAAGCGUGAGUACUCUACACACCAGCAACUCCACACAUAGGUACAAACCUCCAGCAAUUCCACACAUAGGUACAAACCUCUGGCACGAAUCCUGGGAGAUAUCUACAGAAAUGGUCACAGAAGCACUGUUUGUAAUGGGAAAAAUAGAAAUAACCCAAAAUGAUAAUCAGCAACGGCCAGGAUAAAUAAUGUUGUAGUCAUAUGAUGAACUCUUGCAUAGCAGUGAAAUCUAGCAAACUGGAGCAACUUGGAUAAAUCUCAAACAUAAUGUUGAGUGAAAAACAGCCAAUAACAGAACAAUGCACAUGAUAUUAUUCCAUUUACAUAAAACUCACAAUAAUGUAAACCCAUAUAUUGUUUGGAGAUGAAAAUACGUGUAGUAAAAAUUAUUAAGAAAGGAAAUGACAAAUAGUAUUACCAGAUAGCAGUUCCACUGAGAGGGAAGAAAAUGGGAUAGGGAAGACAAGUUAGGGAAUUAGAAGGUAAUGGUAACUUUCACUUGUUAAACUGGGUGGGUUUUGUGUCAUUGUUCUUAUAUCUUAGAUGUAGUCUAUAAACAGUUUUAUAUAUUCCCAAUAUCUAAUUAAAACAUUUAAGAGAAAAAGAUAAGGAAGAAAUGGUUAAAGAAUAUCAUGAGACAGGCACUAACGAGCUGGCCUGGAAUCAGGAGAACUCAGCUCUGCUCACAGUUCCCUCUUAACUUACAGUCUGACCUGAGUAGAGGCAAUGGCUUCCCUGUAGCUCACUCUUUCACUUGUCCAGUGGGGUUAAUAAUAUAUACUAUACAAGCUGAGCACAGCUGGCUCACAUGGCUCACACCUUAAUCCCAGCACUUUGGGAGGCCAAGCGGGAGGAUCACUUGAGGUCAGGAAUUCAAGCCCAGCUUGAGCAAAACAGCAGGACCUCAUCUCUACAAAAAAUAAAUUAGCUAGACAUGUUGGUGCACACCUGUAGUCCUAGCUACUCGGGAGGCUGAGGUGAGAGGAACACUGGAGCCCAGGAAUUGGAGGCUGCAGUGAGCUAUGCACUCUAUCCUGGGCAACAGAGAGAAACAGUCUCUAUUAAAAUAAAAUAAUACAUACUAUACAUAAAUCUUCUGAAGAUGACCAGACGCAAUGGCUAUGACAGGCACCUCAUGAAAACGAAGUUGCUAUACAAGUGUGGUCUUAUACAAAGAUGGUGGCAUUAUUCUUGACAAUUUCCUAUUUGCUUGGCAAAAAACAGAGAGCCACUUCCUGUAACUCAGUCCUAAACCCCCUUACCUGGGGCCCGCCCCAGCUUACAGAGAUGGUCUGUGGUGCUGCUGUUGCAGCUUCACCAGCGUUAGGGUGGUUAGAUUGUAGGAUUAAUGUCAGUAAUGGGCUGACCUCAGCUGAAGGAAGUGGAGAGAUGUAGAGCCACUCCCACUGCUCAACCUUCAGAAAAGUAAAGUGACCUCUCACGAAGCCCUCAGCUCACAUCCUAACUUUUCCCCAUCCUAUAAGCCCACACCAUACUCAACAGUGAGCUAAAAGGAUUCAAUUCCAACUUUAAGUUGGUUGGAGCAAUAAAAUGUCCAGUCUGUGCACCUCUCCACACCCAAUUCCACCAUUUGACUGCUGCACCUACCAUAUUCCAUUGUAAAUACUGCUUCCCUCCCCUCCCCUGCCAAAAAAAAAAAAAAAAAA
ensembl:lncRNA